rnacentral:rRNA from 1 species
AUGGAGCGUUUGAUCAUCAGACUAUAUAAUGAGUGGGAAAUACAGCUACUCGUGCUCCUUAGCUUCACAUUGCAGUUGUUCCUCUUCUUCGCCGGCAGGCUCCGGCGGUGUAGCGGCAACAGGCUCCUAAGGAGCUCCCUUUGGGCUGCUUACUUGGGGGCAGACCUGGCAGCAGUCUAUGCACUCGGCUAUCUGUCACGGCAUCAGGAUAUCAACAUUGAAAGGCUGAGAAGAACCGAACAACUGGCUUUCUUUUGGGCACCAUUUCUCCUCAUUCAUCUUGGUGGGCAGGACACCAUUACUGCUUUUGCCAUGGAGGAUAACAACUUGUGGUUGAGGCAUCUCUUGAAUCUGCUCACCCAAAUUGUCCUAGCUUUAUAUGUAUUCCAGAAGUCCAUUGGAAGACACAGCGCGAACCUUUUACUCUCAGGUAUCUUUGCGUUUAUUGCCGGAAUUAUCAAGUAUGGAGAAAGAAUAUGGUCUCUCAAGUGUGGCCGUCUUAGAAGUCUUGAGAGCUCAACUGGGCAUCAGAGCAGAAAACAAUUGCCUGAAGGAAUCGCUGGCGACGCUGGCUUUGUUGGCGCUGCUCUCAAUUCCAUGCCACGCGCCCUUGAUGUCUUACUGGAGCGCAGCAUGAUUGAUCCAUCGUCAGACGAAUUGGUAAAGACAGAAGUCGACUCUGAUGAAAUGAUCAAGAUGGUGAGGCUUCAGCUUGGCAUAAUAUACGACGACCUCUACACUAAGGCUCUUGUGCUCAGGACUUGGAGCGGAGUUAUGCUUAGAUGCAUCUCCCAGGCCUCGGUUAUUGUUGCUUUUGCGCUCUUCCAUCCAGAUGACAAACAGAGGUAUAGCAAAGCUGAUAUUGCAAUCACCUAUGCACUAUUUGUCGGGUGCUUUUUCCUGGAAGUCUGCUCAAUGUUCAUUUCCAUGAUGUCACCAUGGACAUGGGCAUGGUUGAAGGUUCAAAAUUGUGAUGUCCUUGCCAGGUUGUCAUGGUUUGUGUUUUGCUGUGACAUCGGAUACCCGAGGAUGAAACAACGGUGGCCAAAUUUGAUUGGGCAGUACAACUUCCAUAGCUGGUUAACUGACAGCGACCUGCAGCGAAGUACAUGUAAUGGACAAAUAAUGGUCGUCUUCAGAAAGCUGUUUGUGGGUUUUCUCGGUGUUAAAAAGAAGAAAAUGUUUUGGAUAAGCAAUCUAUUGGACACCAAGUACACGGAUGUGGAUGAAAUGAUCGUGAAAUGUGUAGCAAAAGAGCUUAGUCUGUUACUACAUGAGUUUGACGAUGAUCAAACACCACAAAAAUGGCCAAACAUUAGCCCACUGUUUGGCAAUGCACAGGAUGGGAUUAUUAGAGACUUUGGCUACGGUAUUAUCUUCAUGCACUACGUCACAGAGACACUUUUAGAAAAACCUGCUUCCCCUAGUGAGGACAUGGAAGCAAAUGCUGCAAGGCCAGAUGUACCUUCUGGUCUGGUGGAGGUAUGCCGGAAACUCUCCAACUACAUGAUGUACCUUUUGGUUACCCACCCUUCCAUGCUGCCACUGUCUAUCAGCGCCACAGCUACCCUGGAUCACUUCCAGGAACCUGAACGGCUUAAAGAUGUCACAAAGCUCAUGGAGGACUUUGAAUUGGUGGCAACCAUAGAAACACUGGAGGAGAUAGCACGCCUGUGGGUGAGGCUACUCCUCUACACCGCUGGCAAGUCGAAGGCAGAGAUGCACGCGGCGCAGCUGAGUGAAGGCGGGGAGCUCAUCACAUUCGCCUGGCUGCUCAUGGCCCACCGCGGGAUCGGGGAUUACCAUCUUAGAAGGAUCCAUCUUACCAAUGGCAAUACUCGUGGAGCAGAUGCAGAGUUGACGAAUGUAUACGCCUUUUAUGUUCCCCGAAAGUCGGAAGAUCAGAUACCGGCCGCUGAUCAUGGGUCGGAUGUAUAA